GGUCGCGUAGCUCAGUUGGUUAGAGCGUGGUACUAAUAAUGCCAAGGUCGCGAGUUCGACCCUCGUCGUGACCA